rnacentral:rRNA from 1 species
GAUGAACGCUGGCGGCGUGCUUAACACAUGCAAGUCGAACGGAAAGGCCCAAGCUUGCUUGGGUACUCGAGUGGCGAACGGGUGAGUAACACGUGGGUGAUCUGCCCUGCACUUCGGGAUAAGCCUGGGAAACUGGGUCUAAUACCGGAUAGGACCACGUCUUGGAUGUUGUGGUGGAAAGUUUUUUCGGUGUGGGAUGAGCUCGCGGCCUAUCAGCUUGUUGGUGGGGUAAUGGCCUACCAAGGCGUCGACGGGUAGCCGGCCUGAGAGGGUGUACGGCCACAUUGGGACUGAGAUACGGCCCAGACUCCUACGGGAGGCAGCAGUGGGGAAUAUUGCACAAUGGGCGCAAGCCUGAUGCAGCGACGCCGCGUGGGGGAUGACGGCCUUCGGGUUGUAAACUCCUUUCGCUAGGGACGAAGCGUUUUUGUGACGGUACCUGGAGAAGAAGCACCGGCUAACUACGU